rnacentral:rRNA from 1 species
UUGCCCUAGUAACGGCGAGUGAAGCGGCAACAGCUCAAAUUUGAAAUCUGGCGCAAGCCCGAGUUGUAAUUUGUAGAGGAUGUUUCUGGCGACGUGCCUUCCGAGUUCCCUGGAACGGGACGCCAUAGAGGGUGAGAGCCCCGUACGGUUGGAUGCCUAGCCUCUGUGAAACUCCUUCGACGAGUCGAGUAGUUUGGGAAUGCUGCUCUAAAUGGGAGGUAUACGUCUUCUAAAGCUAAAUACCGGCCAGAGACCGAUAGCGCACAAGUAGAGUGAUCGAAAGAUGAAAAGCACUUUGAAAAGAGGGUUAAAAAGUACGUGAAAUUGUUGAAAGGGAAGCGUUCAUGACCAGACUUGGGCAGGUUGAUCAUCCGUGGUUCUCCGCGGUGCACUCUGCCUGCCCAGGCCAGCAUCAGUUCGCCCCGGGGGAUAAAGGCUUUGGGAAUGUGGCUCCCUCGGGAGUGUUAUAGCCCACUGUGUAAUACCCUGGGGUGGACUGAGGUUCGCGCUCUGCAAGGAUGCUGGCGUAAUGGUCAUCAACGACCCGUCUUGAAACACGGACCAAGGAGUCGUCUUCGUAUGCGAGUGUUCGGGUGUCAAACCCCUACGCGUAAUGAAAGUGAACGUAGGAGAGAGCUUCGGCGCAUCUCCGACCGAUCCUGAUGUUCUCGGAUGGAUUUGAGUAAGAGCAUACGGGGCCGGACCCGAAAGAAGGUGAACUAUGCCUGUAUAGGGUGAAGCCAGAGGAAACUCUGGUGGAGGCUCGCAGCGGUUCUGACGUGCAAAUCGAUCGUCAAAUAUGGGCAUGGGGGCGAAAGACUAAUCG